CACCGGCUAACUCCGUGCCAGCAGCCGCGGUAAUACGGAGGGUGCGAGCGUUAAUCGGAAUUACUGGGCGUAAAGGGUGCGUAGGUGGUUUGAUAAGUUAUCUGUGAAAGCCCUGGGCUCAACCUGGGAACUGCAGAUAAGACUGUUGGACUCGAGUAUAGGAGAGGGUAGUGGAAUUUCCGGUGUAGCGGUGAAAUGCGUAGAGAUCGGAAGGAACACCAGUGGCGAAGGCGGCUACCUGGCCUAAUACUGACACUGAGGCACGAAAGCGUGGGGAGCAAACAGGAU
rnacentral:rRNA from 1 species